UGGGGAAUAUUGCACAAUGGGCGCAAGCCUGAUGCAGCGACGCCGCGUGGGGGAUGACGGCCUUCGGGUUGUAAACUCCUUUCGCUAGGGACGAAGCUGUUUGUGACGGUACCUAGAUAAGAAGCACCGGCUAACUACGUGCCAGCAGCCGCGGUAAUACGUAGGGUGCGAGCGUUGUCCGGAAUUACUGGGCGUAAAGGGCUCGUAGGUGGUUUGUCGCGUCGUCUGUGAAAUUCCGGGGCUUAACUCCGGGCGUGCAGGCGAUACGGGCAUAACUUGAGUACUGUAGGGGUAACUGGAAUUCCUGGUGUAGCAGGGAAAUGCGCAGAUAUCAGGAGGAACACCGAUGGCGAAGGCAGGUUACUGGGCAGUUACUGACGCUGAGGAGCGAAAGCAAGGGUAGCGAACAGG
rnacentral:rRNA from 1 species